CGCGAACCAGCAAGAUGGCGUCCGGUCGGAUGUGACGUCACGGACGCCCCGGAAGAAGCGGGACCUCAGUGGCACAGGAAUGGAACCAGAACCACCUCAGGAGAGCACAUAAUCUUGUCAACCAUCCUGUAUUGAAUCACAGAUAUUUCCUGGCCUUGCUCUUUCACUUCAAGUAAUCUUCCUUACUUCCCUCCUUAAUUCCAAAUGCAUAAAAGAAAUUGCGAGCUCUCAUUCUGGGAAGCAUUGUUCUCAGUCUGAUGAGAUCCUGCUCCCAGGCAUGUCCUGUUUGGCUCAAAUAAAUUCUGAUAAACUCAUAAAAA